rnacentral:lncRNA from 1 species
UCACAUGGAGAAAACCAUUCAGUGAGUGUCUUUCGGCUUUUAGCACUAACAAUGAAAACCAUGUUGUUUCUAUCUCUGCACAGGCUAUUUAGGAUGUCAAGGGAUUUGGAUGAUGGGCUCUUAUCAAUCGAAGCCUGUGGCAUUAAAGUGCCAUCAUAGUCUAGAAGAAUCGCCCUAGUCGUAGUCCUCUUGUAAGCUGAUACAAUGUGCUCCAUUGAGAGCUUUCUGAAGUUCGGAUCAAGAGCCACAACUCGAAAACUUAGCCCAAAACCAAUACCCCAGCAUCUCCGUCUAGAAUGUUCUCGACAAGUCCUCUCCAAAUCCUGAAGGAAACUAUGAGCCCAGUAACCAACAUGAUGUGUACUCACAUAUCUGUAAUGCUUUUCAUGCCUAAGCUGUUUUUCUGCUUCUGCCAUAGCGAGGGCACAGUCCAUUGCAUCUGCUACAGCAUCAAUGUUCC